ensembl:lncRNA
UGGGUUGAGCAUGUAGCCUGCAGAAUUUGCUAGUAAAGGUGGAUGAGACUCCUCUUUAGAGACAUUAGGGUGCAAUGUGCUUCCAUUUCUGCUCAGACACUUGUGGUUUGUGCUAAAAGGGAGCAAUUUAUUCACCUCUGCUUCAACACAGAAUGGGCUGGAAACAGAAUAUUUAUCUUGGUCUUUUGCAAAUGAUAGUUGCUUUGAAUGAACACUGAUGGCGACUGCAGAGGACUUCACCAGAAAUUCUCUCUUCUGCGUGAUGCUUGUGUUUCUCCCCACCACACAUUUCCUGCUUUUUCUCAGUGAGCAACAAAUUGGUUCCCACAGUCUGUUGUCUUUUGCAGCACAGCUGGAAACAAGGAGCGUGGUGGCUUUUCACAUCCAGAACUCGGCCCUUUAUGAAUCUUUGGGAACAUCCCUCCAGCUGCCAGACAUGGAACCAAAGGAGGACAAAUCUUUGAUACCAGGAUGGGGAAAAACUGAGGAUAUUUGUCAUUACCACCUAAUAUUUUAGGAAGCUGUGGCAAUCAGGAGCAUGUUUCUCUUGCCUCAUAAUUAUCUGGAGAGAUUCUGCUGCAGAGGAGAGGCAUUUCUCAACCCUACUGUUAGAGUAUAGCUAUUAGAGGAGAUGAUGCAGGCUCUGAAGCUCAAGGGCCUGUUUUUCUUCUUGUGUUACUUCAUAUGAAUCCAGCCAGCCAGGCCAGUCUGCAUGGACCCAGGCCAAGGACUGCACUUGCUAGAAGGUGCUGCAGAGAUUUCAUAUUCCCAGAGAAAUGAGGCAUCAUCCAAGAAGUCUGUGCCUGGUUCUGGAAGAGAAAUGUACUGCUUUGCUUUACAUCCCAGUUACUUCAGUAACUACACAGACCUUAUAUCAAAACCCAUGUCCUGCCAUGGCAGUGGUCUUUGCAUUAGCUGGACUGGAUCUGGGAAGAGAGCCAAAAAGAGCCAUGAGCUCUUGCUACCAAGUCCUGGCUCGCACAGUCAGGAGACGUGAACACCACAAAUCAUUCUGCUUGGUGGGAUGCUGAGCUGUCCCUCAGUCAUUGAAAUGCACUACCCUGAUCCCAGUUGCUUGGCAAACUUCCCAGGGAAGCAGGUCGCUGGGUAACAAAAGCCCAUUAAUUGGUUUUGCGAGCUGCCCUGCUAAACCAGAUUUGUUUGGGACUUGAAGCAUUGCAAAGCUUUGUGUGCAACGAUGGGAGACUUGGAGGGAGGCAGAGGGCCACGUUAGCAGAUGGAGGCAAGCGUUAACAUUCUACAGCACCAACAAACAUGUGCCUGGGGCAGCUUGCAAGAGACAACAUGGGAUGGACAGCCCCAGCAAGGCUCUGGGGAAGGGACAUGCCACUGCUCUUGGACAAGACCAUAUCAACAUUUCAUAGCAAAAGCUAGUGGUCCUGGGAUUGGGAGAUAAUUUCGUGCCCAUAGAGAAAUCUUUGGGAGCUAUGUGGGCUCUGGAGCUGUCAUCCUGCAUAGCUUCCUUUGGGAAAGUUCCUCUGGUCCACAAGCAGAGCUGGCUCAGCUUGGUUAAUUUUGUCUGGUUUACUGGGGUUUGGGGCUAAUCUGCAAGAUUUGAGAAAAGUCUUCUUCAAGAAGACAAGUUUAAGAGUAGGAAUAUCCUGUCUGCCAUUGGUACAGCAAGAUCUUGGUGGUUUUGGUUUACUGCAAGGUUAAGUGAGCGGUUUUUUCUUCUUUGUUUUUAACCUCCUUUUCAUUUUAAGAACCCCCUACUCAGAAUAAAGCAUCUCAA